CUCCUUGGCUAACAGGGAGAACAUGGGGAAUCAGGUUUUGGGAACCAGGCACUGAUACAGGGGGAAUAAUUUUAAUAAGGAAGGAGCCAGUGCCCAAUGAACCCUCCGGUGUAGGACCAAAUCCAGUCAUAGCAGAGGAAGAUGAUAGUAACAGUAUUGUACAUGCUGUUACAAUCUUUCCUAACAUAAACGUCCCUGAAAAUUACACCCCGGGCAUAGCUACAAAAAUCAAACCCUCGACUCUUACACCCGAAGUCAGCCCAUUGUGGGAUAUGCUUCAAGCCAGUUAUCAAGUACUGAAUGCCACCUACCCUAAUAUAACUGAGCAUUGUUGGUUAUGUUACAACAUUCGGCCACCCUUUUAUGAAGCUAUUGGGGUGGACAGUAGAUUUAAAAAAGCCAACGGAACAAAUCCAGCUCAGUGCUUGUGGAAUAAGGAAUCUGGACAUAAGCAAGGGAUAACAAUGUCCCAAGUAUCAGGAAAAGGAAGAUGUAUAGGGAAUGUCCCAAAAGACAAACGACACCUGUGUAACACAACUCGCAAAUCAGGAGAAAUAACAGCUGAGUGGUUGAUUCCUGCAGAUAAUACUAAGUGGAUUUGUUCUCAAACUGGGGUUACACCUUGUAUAUCCCUAAAGGUCUUUAAUUGGACAACUGAAUAUUGUAUACAAGUAGCUGUGAUACCUAGGCUUAUUUACCAUCCCGAAGAUUUCGUUUAUGACUAUCAAACUACU